UGGACCUUGUGUCGAGACAAUGUUCGAGAUCGUCUCCCUUCUCGGGAAAC
rnacentral:rRNA from 1 species